UACGUAGGGGGCAAGCGUUGUCCGGAUUUAUUGGGCGUAAAGAGCGUGUAGGCGGCUAGGUAGGUCCGUUGUGAAAACUCGAGGCUCAACCUCGAGACGCCGGUGGAAACCAUCUAGCUAGAGUCCGGAAGAGGAGAGUGGAAUUCCUGGUGUAGCGGUGAAAUGCGCAGAUAUCAGGAGGAACACCGAUGGCGAAGGCAGAUCUCUGGGCCGUAACUGACGCUGAGGAGCGAAAGCAUGGGGAGCGAACAGG
rnacentral:rRNA from 1 species